UUUUUUUUUUUUUUUUAAAGAUUUAUUUAUUAUAUGUAAGCACACUGUAGUUGUCUUCAGACACUCCAGAAGAGGGCGUCAGAUCUUGUUACAGAUGGUUGUGAGCCACCAUGUGGUUGCUGGGAUUUGAACUCUGGACCUUCAGAAGUGCAGUUGGGUGCUCUUACUCACUGAGCCAUCUAACCAGCCCUGUUUUGCUUUUUCUAGAUAGUUUCUUUGUGUAGCCUUGGCAGUCCUAGAAUUUGCUCUGUAGACCAGGCUGGCUUAAACUCAGAAAUCCACUGGUCUCAGCCUCCCAAGCGCUGGGAUUAAAGGUGUGCGCCACCAUUGCCUGGCUGCUUGGUUUCUGAGACAGGAAUUAUGUAGUUAGUUCUGGCUGGUCUGGAACUAUGUAGACGAAACUGACUUCCAAAUUAUAGAUUCCCUGCCUCUGCUUCCUGAGUGUUGAGAUUAAAGGUGUGUCUCACUAUGCCCAGUUUUUUUUAAAGAUUUAUUUAUUAUUAUAUCUAAGUACACUGUAGCUGUCUUCAGAUGCACCAGAAGAGGGCAUCAGAUCUCAUUACGGAUGGUUGUGAGCCACCAUGUGGUUGCUGGGAUUUGAACUUCGGACCUUCCGAAGAGCAGUCGGUGCUCUUAACCACUGAACCAUCUCUCCAGCCCCCUAUGCCCAGUUUAUUUCUUGUGUAUGUGUGCAGCACACAUGUGCAGGGGCCUGUGGAGGCCAGAGAGGGCUUUGGGUCUCCUAAAAUUCAAAGUUAUAGAUUAUUGGAUGCCAAGAAUGGAACCAGAGUUCUCUGCAAAAGCAGUAACGUGCUUUCUCACUGCUGAACCAUCUCUCCAGCCCCUACAAUAGUUUCUUAAAUAACUCCUAUAUCUGUUAGACUGAGGGGAAAAAUGGAAAAAAAUAAUUUAGUGGUGCUACAAACUAUUUGUCCUUAAGGGGUCUUGCAGUCAUUCUGGGGUUGUUUCAUGACUAGUUACAGGAGUCCAACUGUCAGAAAAAUGCUGUUUGUUCAUGAAUUUUACUUUUACAAAAGGCCAUAUUAAACACAGUUGAAAGGACAAGCUCAUCUGUUGAAGUAUAUUUUUAAUAGGAAGCAUUUUUUACACAUGCUCACACUCGUCUUCUCAAUAGUAGCAUUCACUCUGAGAUAGUAGCUUCAGGUUGGCCUUGAUUUCUCAAUCCUGUUUCACCCUCUCAGUGUUUUGAUUAGACAACAUAAAACAGCUACCAUCACAACCAACUGUUCACUCACUGAACUGAGUAUAUGACAACUAGCCCACCUUUCAAUGCUAGACUUAAUGCUGCUUUCAAUUUCUUUUGUUCAUAAACUGUUUUUUGUUUUGCUUGCUUUCUCUUUUUUUUGGAUGGCCUGGGCUGUGACUAUGCUAAGCAGAGCCGUGCCAUCCUCAAAUUGCUUCCAAAGACUAUUUAAUCAAGCUUGUUGCCUUAGCCUGCCAUCAUUAACUAUAUACUUAAAAGCUUUUAUAACUUGCAUUUUAGAGUACAUUCUAGCUGUCUUAAGACACACCAAGAGUGCAUCGGAUCCCAUUACAGAUGGUUGUGAGCUACUAUGUGGUUGCUGGGAAUUGAACUGAGGACCUCUGGAAGAGCAGUCAGUGCUCUUAACUGCUGAGCAGCCUCUCCAGCCCUUAAUUUGCAUUUUUACUGCACAGCCGUCACGUUCAUUUCUCGCUCCAAUCUCUUAAGUAUUUGGCACAGCAACCUCAAACCCUGCUCAGGUUUGUUUCUUUUCUUCCUUUUAUUCAGAAGCACGAAGGGAGGCAGGAAAACAUUAAGGACUAAGCUCAGAAUCAUGGUUGGGUGACCUGCUAACGUAAGAGUGGAUGUUGUCAAGGGAGCUUAAAUGAUAGUCCUCUAAGUGUUAGCCCAGGUAUCAUUGCCACAUUUUGAGAACAAUGGCAAACUAAGGAUGAUAAUAAAUCCGGCAGAUGCAUGGGUGGGGAGAAGAGGAAGAGAGAAGGUGGGCAAAAAGGGAGUGGUGACAAAGAGAUGGCACAGCUGUUAAGGGUACUUGUUUCACAUGUCCAGACCCAUAGACCUCCUUACAAUACAUGCAAGGAUGCUGUUUCUGGAAAAAGCAUUAUUUGGCCAAUGCUUUAAAGCAAACAUCUUUGUACCUAUUCCCUGAAAUCAGAUCUGAAGAACAAACUGCUCUUCAACAAAAACCUAAAAUUUGGUUAGUUUUUUUAAAAAAUGAGAUCUUUACGUCAAGAGGGAAAAAAACCAAAACCAAAGUCCUUGAGCUGUAGUCAAACUCCCACUUCAUUCUGCAAAGAAAAGUGCAAAUUAAAAUUAGGUGGAUAGUCAGACUUAAUGCAUAGACUGUUUUAAUGUGAUCUUUGUAUAUACUACAGAGUAAGUAGCAAUUCAGCCAUUCAGUGAAAAGAAAGGACAAUUGCUAAACACACCCAAGACAAAAGGAAAAAACAAACAAGAGUCGUAAUAAAAAUGUUUAUUUAGGUUUGGUCAGUACAGGUGAGAUAUACUGGAGUCACAGGGCAAUAUGCAUUAACAGGACACAACAGUUCAUAAAAACUUAGUAACUAUGCACACAGAUUUCUUAACAUUCAGUCACCUAAAGAUGAAUGCACCUAAAGAUGUAUGGUGGAAAAACUUUAUCUAACGCUGAAACUACUAUAGGACUCCAAGUCCAACUUUUUAGUGAUAAAAACUACUAUACUGGGCAAACCUGGCAGUCCUAAACCCACAUCUACUCUAACAAGUCUGAAUGGUGCAUGAGUAACAACAGCGUGAGGAAGAGUGCCCUGACAGCACAAGUUCUAGAUAAGACAGAUUUAUACAGACAUCAUUGCUAUAGAUUCCCAUUUACAACUUCACAUUAACUCAUAUAAAAAUAACUUGACCCUACACAAAAUGUCCUUUUAGCAAUGUUCAAAGUAAUUAACUGUUACAAUUUUCAAAGUGGCAGAGGUAUUGAAGCAAU
rnacentral:lncRNA from 1 species